GAGAGGAAGAUGAAGUUUGCCCAACAGCAGAAUCAGAGAGAAGUGAGCUAUUCAAAUGUGCUCUACAUUUGUCCCUGAAGACAAGUUUUGCUAAAACAAGAACCUGUGGCAAGCUAGGAACCAAAAUGAGCUUCUGACUCCGGGUUCAGGAAAGCUGUCAAGCAGAUGGAGUCUUGCCCGUGGGAUCCCAGAAGGACUCAGUUCUGAGUUUUCUACCCUAAGGAGCUCUGGAGUUUCUGAGCCAAGUAUGUGGGAAGCACCCAUUUCUCAUCACCGAAAGGGCAAAUUCUCCGCAGGAAUGGAAUUCGUUGGCAUUGGAGACUAAGUCAAGCCCAAUGAGUUUGAGUUGUUGGAACCGCUUUCCAUGACCAAACUCUCCAAGGUUUUGAGUAUUUUAUCUCCUGACUGUGUUGAGAGUUCUGUCAGGGAUCAGGACUGUGUUAGGCACAGCCUGAAACCGGCAGCCAGAUCACACAGGCUCAAAGAACACGGAGGAGUGGGAGGAGGAUGCCAGAGAUGUUCACAGCCGAGCUGCAAACUCUGGGCAUAGGCUGAGGAGGCUGUUGGCUAGAAAUAACCAGCCCUGAGUGUUGGGGAGACUUUAGAGUUUAGUGAUAGAGGGCUCAUGCAUGUAGGGGCAGAGGAGACAAACCUUUGACUUUGGGGAACAGAAAGGGUAGAAGAAAAAUGGAGGGGUGGUUUUUAGCUGUAGAUUUUUACUUGGUUGCUGUUCCUGGGAGGUUUGGUAAGAAAGCGACUUUGGGACUUUUUCCCCAGGAGAAGCUCUGUUUAACCUUAUGAGUGACGAGUCCUUUCUGAUCAGGACUGUAUCAUUAACCAACCCUCUGGCUGGCAGUUCUCAUGAGGUACAGUGGGGUAGGACAGUAGGGACAGAUAUCCUUGGGAUAUGGUGUAUGAUAUUAUAUCAUGGUGUCUCUUCGCAGGAAAAGAACAGUAGCUAAGGCAUAUCUAUUCACACUGUAUGUUUGCAUACACUUUACAAACAUAUAACGCUUUCCCCCAAAGCAACCUGUAACUAAUCAACUGUAUGCUGAUUAAGCAUCUGUGGGAGAAACACUGUGCUAACCACCACGGGAGAUUAAAGGUUUAUAGUACAAACUUUGUCCUUGCACUUGGAGAUUUUACUGUCCAGUGGCAGAAAGAGGACAAGUCGACAGAACAUCUGGAAAGUGAUGAACUAAGUGAAAAUUUCCCCCACCUCUUGCCCAGCCCUCCAUUGCUUUUUCUCCCACAGGGAGGCUCAACCUUGUAUUUACAGGGCUCAGUGCAGGUGAUAGGGAUCUUUCUCCAACUUGUUCCUGAUCCCAUGAAACUUAGCUGCUGAGGUGGUUUGAGUAAGAACCCCCCCCCCCCCAGUUUCAGAUAUCUGAUUGCUUACUCCCCAAUUGGU